UACGUAGGGGGCGAGCGUUGUCCGGAUUUAUUGGGCGUAAAGAGCGCGUAGGUGGUUUGUAAAGUCGGAUGUGAAAGUCCAGGGCUUAACCCUGGGAUGCCAUUCGAUACUUGCAGACUAGAGCAUGGUAGGGGGAUCUGGAAUUCCUGGUGUAGCGGUGGAAUGCGCAGAUAUCAGGAGGAACACCCAUAGCGAAGGCAGCUUGCUGGGACGUUACUGACGCUAAGGCGCGAAAGCGUGGGGAGCGAACAGG
rnacentral:rRNA from 1 species